CAACCUGCCCCACCACUUGGGGAUAACCUUGCGAAAGUAAGACUAAUACCCAAUGAUAUCUCUAGAAGACAUCUGAAAGAGAUUAAAGAUUUAUCGGUGAUGGAUGGGGAUGCGUCUGAUUAGCUUGUUGGCGGGGUAACGGCCCACCAAGGCGACGAUCAGUAGGGGUUCUGAGAGGAAGGUCCCCCACAUUGGAACUGAGACACGGUCCAAACUCCUACGGGAGGCAGCAGUGAGGAAUAUUGGUCAAUGGGCGAGAGCCUGAACCAGCCAAGUAGCGUGCAGGAUGACGGCCCUAUGGGUUGUAAACUGCUUUUAUAAGGGAAUAAAGUGAGUCUCGUGAGACUUUUUGCAUGUACCUUAUGAAUAAGGACCGGCUAAUUCCGUGCCAGCAGCCGCGGUAAUACGGAAGGUCCGGGCGUUAUCCGGAUUUAUUGGGUUUAAAGGGAGCGUAGGCCGGAGAUUAAGCGUGUUGUGAAAUGUAGACGCUCAACGUCUGCACUGCAGCGCGAACUGGUUUCCUUGAGUACGCACAAAGUGGGCGGAAUUCGUGGUGUAGCGGUGAAAUGCUUAGAUAUCACGAAGAACUCCGAUUG
rnacentral:rRNA from 1 species